CUUGGUUAGGGGCACCCACCCCAGAUGUCAGGGGCCUACUCACAAAGCGGCCUCGGAACAAGCUUUGGUACAACUCUAUCACCCAUAAACCACACUCAGACACACAACACGAGGCACCUGUACAUCUCGCCCAUAAGCUCUACGGAUUCACGACCACAUCACAAAAACAUGUCGACUAACAACUAGCCACACUAGGAACUUAACCUGUCACUAG